rnacentral:pre_miRNA from 1 species
ACCACUGAGCCACUUUCCAGCCCUUUGAAAACUUAUUUGAGGGCUGGAGAGGUGGCUCAGUGGC